CCUACGGGGGGCAGCAGUAGGGAAUUUUCCGCAAUGGGCGAAAGCCUGACGGAGCAACGCCGCGUGAGUGAGGACGGCCUUCGGGUUGUAAAACUCUGUUCUUGAGGAAGAAUUCCUUCCAGGCGAACAGCCUGGAAGGUUGACGGUACUCAAGGAGAAAGCCCCGGCUAACUACGUGCCAGCAGCCGCGGUAAUACGUAGGGGGCGAGCGUUAUCCGGAAUUAUUGGGCGUAAAGCGCGCGCAGGCGGCUGAUUAAGUCAGGUGUGAAAGGCUGCGGCUCAACCGCAGAGCGGCACCUGAAACUGGUCAGCUUGAGUGCAGGAGAGGGGAGCGGAAUUCCCGGUGUAGCGGUGGAAUGCGUAGAGAUCGGGAGGAACACCAGUGGCGAAGGCGGCUCUCUGGCCUGUAACUGACGCUGAGGCGCGAAAGCG
rnacentral:rRNA from 1 species